rnacentral:rRNA from 1 species
CAGCAGCCGCGGGAAUACGAAGGGUGCAAGCGUUAAUCGGAAUUACUGGGCGUAAAGCGCGCGUAGGUGGUUUGGUAAGAUGGAUGUGAAAUCCCCGGGCUCAACCUGGGAACUGCAUCCAUAACUGCCUGACUAGAGUACGGUAGAGGGUGGUGGAAUUUCCUGUGUAGCGGUGAAAUGCGUAGAUAUAGGAAGGAACACCAGUGGCGAAGGCGACCACCUGGACUGAUACUGAAACUGAGGUGCGAAAGCGUGGGGAGCAAACAGGAUUAGAGACCCGAGUAGUCCCUGUCUCUUAUAC